AGGUGCAGCUGCAGGGGAUGACACCAAAGAUGCAAGCACUGAGUUCACUGACAGUAUUGAGGAGGCCGCACACCAUAGUCACCAGCAACUCAUCAAGGUGGCUUUGGAGAAAAGUCUGGCAAUUGUGGAGACCCAGAACCCAUCUUUUUCCCCUCCUUCCCCGAUGGGAGGGGACAGUAACAGGUGUCUUCAAGGAAGAAAUGCUCCACCUGAGGGCUGAGAUCCACCAGCACUUAGAAGAGAAGAGGAAAGCUGAGGAGGAACUGAAGGAGCUAAAGGCUCAAACUGAGGAAGCAAGAUUCUCCUCAGUGUCCCACAUCAGGAAUACCGUGCUGAGCCUUUGCCUUGAGAAUGCAGAGCUGAAAGAGCAGAUGGGAGAAGCAAUGUCUGAUGGAUGGGAGAUCGAGGAAGACAAGGAGAAGAGCGAGGUGAUGGUUGAGACUGGUAGCCAAAGAGGGUCUGAGUGAGAGUAGCCUUCAGGCUGAGUUCAGAAAGCUCCAGGGAAAACUGAAGAAUGCCCACAAUAUCAUCAACCUCCUCAAAGAACAACUUGUGCUGAGUAGCAAGGAAGGGAAUAGUAAACUUACUCCAGAGCUCCUUGUGCAUCUGACCAGCACCAUCGACGGAAUAAACACAGAACUGGUUGGUUCCCCUGGGAAGCACCAACACCAAGAGGAGGGGAAUGUGACUGUGAGGCCUUUCCCCAGACCCCAGAGCCUUGACCUUGGGGCUACCUUCACAGUGGAUGCCCACCUAGUAAGUGUGGGCUUAGAUUGAGUGAAAAACAAUUGGAGAAGGGCUUGAGAUGACAGUGUUUACCUUAAAACAUUCUCCCAUAUGAAUCAGGAGGUACCAAG
rnacentral:lncRNA from 1 species